rnacentral:rRNA from 1 species
CCAAUAGCGUAUAUUAAAGUUGUUGCAGUUAAAAAGCUCGUAGUUGAAUUUCGGGAUCAAUUUGCUGGUCGUGCCUUCGGUACGUACUGGUAUUAUUGGUUUCUCCUUUCUGAUGAAUCGCGAUGUCAUUAAUUUGGUGUCGUGGGGAAUCAGGACUGUUACUUUGAAAAAAUUAGAGUGUUUAAAGCAGGCUCACGCUU